UACGGAGGGUGCAAGCGUUAUCCGGAUUCACUGGGUUUAAAGGGUGCGUAGGCGGGCAGGUAAGUCCGUGGUGAAAUCUCCAAGCUUAACUUGGAAACUGCCGUGGAUACUAUUUGUCUUGAAUAUAGUGGAGGUGAGCGGAAUAUGUCAUGUAGCGGUGAAAUUCGUAGAUAUUGGGAAGAACUCCGGUGGCGAAGGCGGCGUGCUGGACCCCUUCUGACGCUGAGGCGCGAAAGCCAGGGGAGCGAACGGG
rnacentral:rRNA from 1 species